CCGUCGUCUCUGAUUUUUUCGUCUGUAUCAUUUUGACGUUUGAAUUGGUAAGUAAUUUCUGUUCUUCAAAGACUUUAUUUGAGACAGACUGAAUCUGUAGAUGCCGCAAGAAUCAGCAUUGAGAAUAAUUCUUUUGAAGUUUACAGCAAAGUGAUAUGGUGUUGUCAUGGACUCUGCAAAAGAUAUAAGCAAAAAGAUACGCGUAAGUUUCUUGCAAAUGGUUUACACAUUGUUAACCAAAAGUUUUCGGGCAAAAGCUACCAUUUGUUAGUGGAUUUUGUUUAUUUUUUUCCAUUCAGUUGGUCUUGUCGUUACAGGCACUUGUUUUUCUAUCCAUGGCAAGAUCUACUAUCCCUAUAUAUUUACAAGGCGUCAAAGCAAAAUAAAAUUAUAGCCUUUAGAGACGUCAUUUUUAUUUGGACUACAGGGAUAGUAGAUCUUGCUGUGGAUAGGAAACAAGUGCCUGUGUCUGUGAGCACAGGAGGUUGAAAUCCUAUCAAUGAGGGUCUAUAAAUAUGUCAACUCGACUAUCACAGUAGAGCUUCUCUCGCAGUAGAGCUUCUCUCGUAGAGAGAAGCAGCUCUACUGUGAUAGUCGAGUUGACAUAUUUAUAGACCCUCAUUGAUAGGAUUUCAACCUCCUGUGCUGUGAGUUACUCGUCUUAUUUCUGUCCUAUAUUUUGUACCUUGCGCUGUUCACUCAGGGACAGCUCUGUGCAUCCCUAAUGUUGCAAUUUGCGAUUUUUGUCGAGCCUGCGACUUUUGUCGCAGAAAGCUUGACAUAGGGAUAGUGUUCCGGCGGCUAUGGCGGCGGCGUUAGCUAACUUCUUAAAAGCUUUAUAUUUUAGAAGGUGGAAGACCUUGAUGCUUCAUACUUUGUAUAUAGAUGUCUCAUGUUACGAAGUUUCUGUCAGUCACAUGUCCAAUGUCCUUGACCUCAUUUUCAUGGUUCAGUGACUACUUGAAAAUAAAGUUAAGAUUUUUUGUAAUGUUAAAUUCUCUCUUAUUAUAAGUAAUAGGAUAACUAUAUUUAGUAUGUGCGUACAAUGUACCUUGCAAGGUCCUCAUGCCUGUCAGACAGUUUUCACUUGACCUCGACCUCAUUUCAUGGAUCAGUGAACAAGGUUAAGUUUUGGUGGUCAAGUCCACAUCUCAGAUACUAUAAGCAAUAGGUCUAGUAUAUUUGGUGUAUGGAAGGACUUUAAGGUGUACAUGUCCAACUGGCAGGUGUCAUCUGACCUUGACCUCAUUUUCAUGGUUCAGUGGUUAUAGUUAAGUUUUUGUGUUUUGGUCUGUUUUUCCUAUGCUGUAUUCAAUAGGUCUACUAUAUUUGGUGUAUGGAAUGAUUGUAAGGUGAACAUGUCUAGCUGGCAGGUUUCAUCUGACCUUGACCUCAUUUUCAUGGUUCAGUGAUCAAAGUUAAGUUUUUAAGUUUUGGUCUUCUUUUCUAAUACUAUAUGCAAUAGGUAAACUAUAUUUUGUGUAUGGUAAUAUUUUAUGAUCUACAUGUAUAUAUGUCAGUUUCGCAGGUUUAAUUUGACCUUGACCUCAUUUUCACAUUUCAUUGCUCAGUGUUAAUUUUUUGUGUUUUGGUCUGUUUUUUUUUAAUUAUAAGCAAUAGGUCAACUAUUUUUAUACCCCACGCAACGAAGUUGCGCAGGGUAUAAUGUUUUUGACCCGUCCGUCUGUCAGUCCGUCCGUCCGUCCGUCAGUCCGUCCGUCAGUCCUGUUUCUUGUCAUCGCAACUCCUCUCAAACCACACAACAGAAUUUCACAAAACCUUUUUAGAUAAUAAGGACAUACUAUGUAAUGUAGUUGUGCAUAUCGACAGGAAAUUGCGAUUCAAUUUUUUUUCUAGGAGUUACGCCCCUUUGAACUUAUCUAUAAUACUAAAAUUACGAGGUCCAAUUUGUCAGCCGUCAUCGGGUAAAAACGACAAAUCAAAGAAUUCAACUCUAUAUAUAACUAAUAUAGGACAAUGGUGUAGAUUAAAAAUUACACCACUCCAGACCCUUUUGUUUUCAGCAUAAUUUAUAUUGCCAAUAAUUAACAAGUUCCGGGUGGAAUCCGAUACCGAUACAAAUAGUAUAUUCAGCUAUUACCUUAUCUGUACGUUCCGCAUUUGACAGGCGCACCACCAAACGGUUUAUUUAGGAUUUUGCUAUAUACACGGGUCAUAAUCAAAGGACUGACACUACUAAAUUCAAUCAUUGUCAAAUUGUACCCUGUUGUAGUUUUAUUCAGCAAUCAGCAACACUUUCUAAGAUAACUAAUAUAGGACAAUGCUGUUGAUUAAAAAAUACUCCAUUCCUGGAUAGCCAGGACCUUUUGUUUUCCAAAUAAUUAAUAUUUCCAAUAACUGAUAAGUUCCAGGUCGACGGGUUCAAGCAGAAAGAUUUGAAAGCAGAGAAAACUGUGUAUCUUAUAAUCGACAUGACUUAUCAGAGGACAAUACCAAUUACUAAAAUAAGGCUUAGGCAUAGUUAUAGACUUUAAUUCAGUCACGGACCCGCGAUAUCACGGGUGUGUACUUGUUUACUUUAAUGUACUACUGCAACAGUUUGUCAUCGCAACUCCUCUCAAACCACACAACAGAAUUUCACGAAACCUUUUCAGAUAAUAAGGACAUACUAUGUAGUUGUGCAUAUCGACAAGAAAUUGCGAUUCAAUUUUUUUUCUAGGAGUUAUGCCCCUUUGAACUUAUUUACUUUAAUGUACUACUGCAACAGUUUAUCAUCGCAACUCCUUUCAAACCACACAACAGAAUUUCAUGAAACCUUUUCAGAUAAUAAGGACAUACUAUCUAGAUGUGCAUAUUGACAGGAAAUUAUGAUUCAAUUUUUUUUCUUACACAUAUUUUAUUUCUCCAAUGACAAUGUGGGGAUGUGGGGUAUGUGAGCGCGCUCACCAUUGCUCACUAAGGUUUCUUUAAUGGUUGUAUGGAAUAAUUGUUAGCUGUACAUGUCUGCCUGCAUGGUUCAUCUGUCCUUGACCUCAUUUUCAUGGUUCAUUGGUCAAUGUUUAGUUUUCUUGGUUAAUGUUAAGUUUAUAUGUGACAGUGGUAAUAAAGCUUUAUAUUUAGGACUAUCAACAUAACAUCAAUGAUUAGUAAAGAAGUCAAGACAUUUCAGUGUGUGCACUCUUGUUUACUUCAUCUGCCCACAAAAUACGUCAGCUCGGGAUAUUUCUGGCACGAACAUUUUCCUAUGUAAAAUUCUUCAUUUCUUGAAAACUUCGAUAUUCAUUUAAAUUGGUAAAAGUUAAAAAAAAAAAUUUUAAAAUGUACAAAGUUUUACCUGGCGUCAAGUUUACGACUAGUUUAUGACCCAUAGCUAAUUACAACAAGUGUCAUAAUCUGUUGUUACAGGUAAUCCAUUUAUCGGAUGGGUGAUUAAUGAUCAUCAACAUUACAUUGUAAUUAACUCAAAUAAUGUAGAAUCGGUAUGUUGGCAUUUGUCAUAUUUUAUUUGAAGAAAUGUGCAUAAGACAACACAAUUUGCAAGGUUUACCUUAGUUGAAUGAUGAAAACAUAAUCGACAGGAAGUUGAAAACCAUUGUUUUAUUUGUUUUUCGGUAAAAAAAUUAGCAAAUUCAGACAUAUUUUGUUUUUUCUGCCCUCAAUUAUGAUCCGAAAAUAACAAUACCUGGCCACCAUUGUUGACCAUAUGUAUAAUCCUCCUAAGAAGGAGCCCCCCUGAAAAAAGAAAGAUAACUGGAUUUUACUUUUUCCUAGCAUUGAGAUACCUACUUUUAAACUUUUCUCUGAAAAUACAGUGCAAACUGUUAGGAAUUGUUGAUAGACAUGAAUCUUGCUUUGACAAUUAACACCUCUAAUUUAAAUUCUUUAUUUUUUUCAGAGUGCCAUAAAGGCCAAGUUGGUAGAGCUAGGAGCAUAUGUUGGUAAGUAAACUGCAUCAUAAUACAUGUCUAAUGUGAUGUAUAAAUCUCAUAUAAAAAGUGACGAAUCAUUAAGUUCUUGACUUGGUUUAGUAACAACUCUUCAGUUUAAACAUGUAAGUUAUAGAAUGAUAAACAUGAUAAAGGUUCUUUAAAAAAACUUACCACAGAAGACUCCUAUUUUAGGCUUUGCCAAGUCAAGUUAUCUGCAGAAGAUGUUUUGCAAUGAAUGAAUGAUGAUGACUCAGCAGAUAACAAUCUAGAUGCAUCUUUGGAAUCACUGGUGUAAAAGAAAAUAAGUUUGGUCUAUUUUUCACAUGUACGAGAUACAUUGUAGCAAGAACCUUAUGCUAAUAUAUAUGCAAUGGAUAGGACUCAUGUAAAAUGACAUUUUUCCUCAACCUGGAAGAAAGAUAGCCUUAAUCUCUAUAAAUUUGGUUAUAUUUAUAUAAUAUGUAUAAUGCUUCAAACAGUCAGUGAGUGUUUCAACUCGUUUGUGAACACUUGUGAGUUUAAUCAUAAAACAUGCAAUGUUUGAUAUAGAGGUUGUCAGUCAUGUCAGUCAUGUUUUAAAUAUAUACAAUGUACAUUCAAGACAUUUGUAGGUAUAAAGCAACCUGGCAACAGAAAAAAAUUAAAUGAAUAAUAAUUAUUAUAUUGUGUUUUUGUUUGUCAUGGAAAGCAUACAAUGUAUAUAUAGAUUGAUAUAUGGGAUCUGUUAAAUAUUCUUAUAAUCUUUUUUCAUUUGCAUGAAAAUUAUUUCAUACUUAUUUCUCUUUCCUUGUCUAUCUGUAAAUAUUAAUAAUAUGACUUAUAAUAUUUGUUCUGUCCGAAUUUGAAAUGAUAUUUAAAAAUAAAAUGGUGAUUUAUUUAAGUAUAUAAUCUGGAUUGUUUUAUUGUUAUACAUAGAUGAUGAGUUGCCAGACUAUAUUAUGGUUAUGGUUGCCAACAAAAAGACCCAAAAUCAGAUGACAGACGAUUUGAGCCUGUUUCUAGGACUUAAUACAGAAAAAUUUACAUCCUGG
rnacentral:lncRNA from 1 species